rnacentral:rRNA from 1 species
UCUAUCGGGUCUAAUUUUCCGAAAGGCACCAGAUACCAUCUUGUUUUAGAAGCUAAACAGAACCAGCUCUGGAUACUAUGUGGAUGGGAGACCACCUAUGAAUAGCAGGUGCUGAAAGCU